GGGGAAUAUUGGACAAUGGGGGCAACCCUGAUCCAGCAAUGCCGCGUGUGUGAAGAAGGUCUUCGGAUUGUAAAGCACUUUCGACGGGGACGAUGAUGACGGUACCCGUAGAAGAAGCCCCGGCUAACUUCGUGCCAGCAGCCGCGGUAAUACGAAGGGGGCUAGCGUUGCUCGGAAUGACUGGGCGUAAAGGGCGUGUAGGCGGUUUACACAGUCAGAUGUGAAAUCCCCGGGCUUAACCUGGGAGCUGCAUUUGAUACGUGUAGACUAGAGUGUGAGAGGGGGUUGUGGAAUUCCCAGUGUAGAGGUGAAAUUCGUAGAUAUUGGGAAGAACACCGGUGGCGAAGGCGGCAACCUGGCUCAUGACUGACGCUGAGGCGCGAAAGCGUGGGGAGCAAACAGGAUUAGAUACCCUGGUAGUCCACGCUGUAAACGAUGUGUGCUAGAUGUUGGGUAACUUUGUUAUUCAGUGUCGCAGU
rnacentral:rRNA from 1 species